rnacentral:rRNA from 1 species
CGCUUAUUGAUAAUAAUUUUAAGUCAAUCUGCCCAAUGAAUUUAAUUAAAUGGCUGCAGUAUAAAUAACUGUACAAAGGUAGCAUAAUCAAUUGAUUUUUAAAUGAAAUCUGGAAUAAAAGAAUUAAUGAAAUAUAUACUGUCUCAUAUAUAUAAUAUAAACUUAAAUUUUUAAUAAAAAUGUUAAAAUUUAUUUAUGGGACGAUAAGACCCUAUAGAAUUUUAUAUUAAAUUAUUUUUAUAAUUAUUAAAUAUAAAAUUUAAAUUAAUAUUUAAUUGGGAGAAUUAUUAAAUUUAAAAAAUUUUAAUUAAAAAAAACUUAAAUUAAAGAAUAUAUUUUGAUCUUUAAAUUAAAAUUAAUAGAAUAAAUUACCUUAGGGAUAACAGCGUUAUAUUUUUUUAUAGAUCACAUAGAAAAAAAUGAUUGCGACCUCGAUGUUGAAUUAAGAUAAAUUUUAAAUGUAGAAAUUUAAUAAUUAAGUCUGUUCGACUUUUAAAAUCUUACAUGAUUUGAGUUCAAAUCGACGUAAGU